CUGAAAACCUGGGAAGCAGAGAAAUGAGUAUGUCCCAGGAGCAUUUGCAGUCACAGCAAGUGAACCAGCGGCAGUCAUCGUCUCCAGAUUCUGAGAUCCCCAUGCUUCACAACCCUUAGUCUAUGAAAAUCAUGCAGAGCGAACCUUGGACAUUGACGAAAUCAACCCGGCAAAUCAGAAGGACAGCCUGUUGCUACAGUUAUCAUAUUAGCCCCAGUCAUACCAAAGAAGCUCAGAGAUAUAAAUGCUGUUUAAGAUGUGCUAGUCUCCACAUACUCCAUGUCUGGUGUGAACAUGUACAAUUGAAGGUAUCUACAUACCCGAUGUCUGGUGUGAACAUGUACAAUUGAAGGUCUCUACAUACCCCAUGUCUGGUGUGAACAUGUACAAUUGAAGGUCUCUACAUACCUCAUGUCUGGUGUGAACAUGUACAAUUGAAGGUCUCUACAUACCCCAUGUCUGGUGUGAACAUGUACAAUUGAAGGUCUCUACAUACCCCAUGUCUGGUGUGAACAUGUACAAUUGAAUGUCUCUACAUACCCCAUGUCUGAUGUGAACAUGUACAAUUGAAGGUCUCUACAUACCCCAUGUCUGAUGUGAACAUGUACAAUUGAAGGUCUCUACAUACCCCAUGUCUGAUGUGAACAUGUACAAUUGAAGGUCUCUGCAUACCCCAUGUCGGGUGUGAACAUAUACAAUUGAAGGUCUCUACAUACCCAAUGUCUGGUGUGAACAUGUACAAUUGAAUGUCUCUACAUACUCCAUGUCUGGUGUGAACAUGUACAAUUGAAGGUCUCUACAUACUCCAUGUCUGGUGUGAACAUGUACAAUUGAAGGUCUCUACAUACUCCAUGUCUGGUGUGAACAUGUACAAUUGAAUGUCUCUACAUACUCCAUGUCUGGUGUGAACAUGUACAAUUGAAGGUCUCUACAUACUCCAUGUCUGGUGUGAACAUGUACAAUUGAAGGUCUCUACAUACCCAAUGUCUGGUGUGAACAUGUACAAUUGAAGGUCUCUACAUACUCCAUGUCUGGUGUGAACAUGUACAAUUGAAGGUCUCUACAUACUCCAUGUCUGAUGUGAACAUGUACAAUUGAAGGUCUCUACAUACCCAAUGUCUGGUGUGAACAUGUACAAUUGAAUGUCUCUACAUACUCCAUGUCUGGUGUGAACAUGUACAAUUGAAGGUCUCUACAUACUCCAUGUCUGGUGUGAACAUGUACAAUUGAAUGUCUCAUCUUUGGAAUUGGAACACGUUGAAAAUUAGUGAUUUGAUUCAGACAGAAAUCGCAUAGUGAAAAAUCACAACAAAAAAUGGAAAGCAAGAAAGUCUUGUGGCCAGCAAUGUUUUUAUGUGACCACUAAGUUGUGUUCAAAGAAAAACAAUAGUUCAUGUUUUAUUGGAACUAUGAUGCUGUCAGUCAUUUUAUGUUGAAGGCUUUAAAUAACUAUAUUUAAAUAUAAUAAGAUUAAGAUUACUUGAUAAAAGAAAUAAUGUUAUAUAGUAUUUUAAGCGCAAAAUUUACAAGUCUAUCCAAUUACUGUGUCUGUAUUAUGACAUUUUAUUUUGGAAAUGUUAAGGAAAAUAUAAUGUUAGUAAAUAUAUGUCUAUGAAUGUUGAUUUUGACAUUUGUCAAAGCUGUUUAAAUGAUGCUGGUAACUUCGACAAAAUUUAAAGAAAUGUAUUAUUUUCAUGUAAUGAGACAUGCUUCAGUUUUUUGUGGCUUAACCUGUAAUAUAGAGGUGGUAGUUACAAGAAUUGUUUAGCCAGAUGGAGAAUGUUUAUGCUAUGGCUUUGAUACUCUUAAGUGUGCCCAUUGGUGUCAGGUUUUUAUCAAGAAUAUUGUUUAUUGUCUAACAAUUUCUUGAAAAUAUUGAUUAAUUUUAGACAAAAUCAUUUAAUCUUCCUUAAAUUGUCUAUUCUCUAUUCACGACCAGUUAUUUAUUAAUUUGCAUGAAUAUGAUUUAUGAAUGACUUUUGUGUUGCUUAAAAUGCUUUAUUUGUUUUGGAACUGAGUAUUUAAAAAUGAAAAUAUGAGGUGUAGGAAUAAUGGCCAAAGUUAUGAUAAUUAUUUUUUUGUUUUUGUAAAGUUUAUUAUGCUUUAUGUUUGUGUAUAGGCAUUUAGACGACCAGAUUAACUUGACCAAUAAUUCGUGCUCACUGUAUAUAUCGGUCAGUACAUUAGUCACUUGUAUAUAUAGCGAUUGUGAAAUGAUUGUAUUUGCAAUGUAAAUCAUGCGUUUAUUGUUGCCAUUUUGAUUUUUGCUGUUAACAUUUAUUUGUAAUAACAAUUUUCAUCGUGUACAUCUUUUAGGUGCCAGAUAAUAUAAAAAAACAUUGCUUGUGGAGAUGCUCAUUUAAAACUUUCUUAAUGAUACAGAACAACACAUUCUGAAGAGGCUAAUAAAUUAUGCUUUAGGCAAAAGGAACAUCUUGUUACUAGUAUAUGUACUGCUUUUCAUUAGAUAAAGUCAAGCAACUAUUGAAAGAUUGGUUUAACUUUAUUUUGCAUUAUUUUAAGAAAAAUUAAUAUAUUCAAUGUGGAAAUCAGUCAAUUGCAAAUCAAGCGAGAGUGAUGAAUAUUUUUAAGCAAGAUAGAGGGAUGUUUUUGCUUGAAAAAAAGUUGUAUCCCUUGUUAGAUAAUGAUUUUGUUCAUCUCUCAACAUAACAAGUGCAUUCAUACAGCUAUCAAAAAUAUGACACACUUAAUACUCAGCCAUCAGUUUGUAUUUGGGUUUUGUGGAAUACUUACUAAACUAAUAUACGUCUGUUCAAUGAAUUAAUAGUUAUGGUACAAUAUGAUACUCAGUGUUACAAAACAUGUGUAAUAAAAAUAUAAUGGCAUUUAUUUGAAAUCAUAAAAUUUAGUUUUCCAUACAAUGCUUACAGUUUUGCAAUUGCGACGAUAGAGGAAAUGUUCUGCUAAAAAAAAUGUCUGUUAAAGACAUGUGUAUAUUGUAGCAAUUAUAUUGUACUUGUAUUUAUAUUAUACAUGAUAAUAAUUGACUUAUGGCUGAUGAUAGCGGCAGUUUACUAUUUGUGUAACAGUUUGACCAUAUUUCCUUAAACAUGUGAUUGUUUAUAAUGAACUGUAAUUGAAUGCAUGAAACAUUGUUGUUCUGUUGCUUAACAGCUGAAAAUAGCUUGAUGUUUGUUAAUUGUGUGAAAUGUUUCAAAUUAAUCAUAUUGAUACAUAGAAAAUAAAAUUACAUUUUG